ensembl:misc_RNA 7SK 7SK RNA
GAAUCAUAUGAGAAAGCUAGGACAUCUGUCACCCCAUUGGUCACCAAGAUUGAUUCAGCUGACCUAGCUGGCUGAGUGGGUGUCCUCUUCCUCCUCUUUGCUCCCUGUGCAUCCUCUUAAAGCUGGGCACUCCAUGGAAGAUAACAUUCUUUUCUGAUAAAAGUGGACCCACCUUCAGUUAAGAGGAUGUGAGUAGCUUUGGUUCUCUGAAUAAGCUCUGAAGGUCCAGCUGUGGGAGAAUGUACAGUAGUCAAGCCUCCAAGAUUGCAGACACAUCCAAGUGAGGUGCUUCACGCAUCCAUUUGCCUUUUUUU